rnacentral:lncRNA from 1 species
CAAUGAUUUUGAACACUUUCUUAGGUGUCUUUCAGUCAUUUCAGAAACCUCUGUUGAGAAUUCUCUAUUUAGUUCUGCACCCCACUUUUUAAUUUCAUUGUUUGGUGUUUUGGUGGCUAGCUUCUUGAGCUCCUUAUAUAUUUUGGAAAUCAGUCCUCUGUCAGCUGUGGGACUGGUGAAGAUCUUUUCCCAUUCUGUGGGUGGCCGUUUUGUCCUACUGACUGUUUCCUUUGCCUUGCAGAAGCUUCUCAGUUUCAGGAGGUCCCAGUUAUUAAGUGCAGACCUCAGUGUCUGUGCUACUGGCAUGAUGUUCAGGAAUCGUUCUCCUGUGCCAAUUUGUUCAAGAGUAAUUCCCACUUUCUCUUCUAGAAGAUUCAACGUGGCUGGAUUUAUGGUGAGAUCUUUGAUCCAUUUGCACUUAAGUUUUGUGCAUGGUGACAGACCAGUUGUAUAUUUGGUACCCUUGGAAGCUGGAAGAGGGCACUGGAUCUCCUGGAAUUGGAGUUGUGAUGAUUGUAGCUGCUAUAUGGGUGCUGGGAAUUGAAACUGGGACAUCUGGAAGUGAAGCCAGAGCACUUAACUCUUAAACCACUUCUCCACUCUGAUAAUUAAUUUUAAUUACUAGUUUGCUAAGGCAAUGGUUGAGAAUACUGUUCAGCACACUCUGGAAAAUCAAAGAAUCAUCUGUAUUGAGGAGUUUAAGAUGUUUAUUUGUUCUUAUGUGCAUUUAUCUAUAUGUGUUACAUGAACAUUUGUGAGUGUGUGAGAAAUUUAAAUCAUUAAAUCAGGACUACAGGUUAUCAUUGUGGUGAUAUAUUCCCAGAGUGUUGAGUGUUCUUUAUUAAGUUAUUUUAAAUAACAAUACUGGUAAAGAUCAUUAACAAAAAUUUUCACAUUGUCAAGAAUAUUUAUAUCAACAAUCUCAUUUUUGUCCUUGUGGUAGCUCUGACAUUUGGAUACUAGUUUUAAUAUAACUUGACAAAUUAUAAUUGUAUCUAUUUAAGUUAUAUAUAGUGAUAUGAAAAUAAAACAUGUAUGCCUUGUGGAAUUAUUAAAUCAGGCUAAUAUUGUGA